CUUCAGGGAGCAAAACUUAAGGUGGUCUCCCUCCAUUUCAGUGCGGAAAAACAGACCUGAGGGAACCCAUUGUCUCCCUGGGACUCGGAGGCCCCCAGCACUCUAACAAGGCCUCUGAGCCGCUCACUUUUCCCAUCUGGUGGGAAAACUUGAAGCAAAUAGGGACACAGUGGCUUCCGUCCUGGAUUCGGAGGUCUCCACGGUUUCCUCCGUCCGGGCGCCAGGGCGCGGGCUCUGAGCCCCAGUGGCCUGCUUGGCACAGGUGCCUUGCGGCCUGCGCGUCCAGUCGCUCCGCCCCAGUAGACGAGGAGGCCGCUCGCAGGGUCGUCGGGUCACAGGGAGCCGCAGGUUCCGGUCGGGAGGAGGGGCUGGCGCGCCCGGGUCCCCGCCGGCCGUUUGCUUUCAUCUCAGCGGCCGGGGCCGGCCCCCACGUGGCUUAAUCAGGCGCGGCUGUGCCUGGCGGACCUGAACAUCUGGAUCCCGGCGCGGCCCCUCCCCCGCCCCUCCCGGGCUGGGCCUCUCUUCCACCAGCGCACCCUGGGCACGGUCCCUGUGCGCUGGGACCCCAACCGUUUCCUCAAGUCGGACGCCUUGGCAUAUGCCCAUCAUCCCAACACGCGGAAAGGCUGAGGCAGAAGAAUCGGUGCGAGGUCCAGGUCAAUCUGGGUUAGGACGUGAGUUCUAAGUCUGGCCCUCUAUAGUGAGCGAGACCCUGUCUCAAGAAACCAAACGCAAAGCCUGUUUCCCCAAUUUACAGGUGGGAAACCUGGCACCCGGACGCCUGGGCAGAGCCGGAAUUCAAGUUCACACUUGUCAUUUGCAGAGUCCCGGGCACUUAACCCUUCUGCAAUUACGGUCCUUCAUUCAAUUUCAAACAAACACUCCUUUC
rnacentral:lncRNA from 1 species